rnacentral:rRNA from 1 species
AGCGAACGUUAGCGGCGCGCCUAACACAUGCAAGUCGCACGAGAAAGGGCUUCGGCCCCGGUAAAGUGGCGCACGGGUGAGUAACACGUGGGCAACCUGCCCAACCCUGGGGGAUAACCUGCCGAAAGGCGGGCUAAUACCGCGUACGAGGGCUCGACUUCGGUCGGGUUCUGAAAGCAGGCCUCUGUAUACAAGCUUGUGGGGUUGGAUGGGCCCGCGCUCCAUCAGCUAGUUGGUGAGGUAACGGCUCACCAAGGCUACGACGGAUAGCUGGUCUGAGAGGAUGAUCAGCCACACUGGAACUGAGACACGGUCCAGACUCCUACGGGAGGCAGCAGUGGGGAAUCUUGCGCAAUGGACGAAAGUCUGACGCAGCGACGCCGCGUGGGUGAUGAAGGCCUUCGGGUUGUAAAGCCCUGUGGGGUGAGACGAACAGCUGGGAUUCGAAUAGGGCCUCGGUCUGACGGUAUCACCUUAGCAAGCACCGGCUAACUCUGUGCCAGCAGCCGCCGUAAGAC